rnacentral:lncRNA from 10 species
GCCAGAGCCAGGCAAAGCCAGUCACCGCUUUGUUCAGAUGACUCAGGUAAAUAAAUGAGGCCGCACAGGCUGUCCUGACACCACACACCUCUAGAAUACCCUGGCUGUGCUGGGAGCUAUUGGUGUCAGCUGAGUAUUUUCAUCCCUGUCCAAGUCACAAUGAUCUGACUGUACCAGCCUGUGUGGAUGUUGCUAAGAGGAGGCAGACAGCACCAUGAGCUCCCUUAGAUGACGAUCGGCAUGAUGUUCCUGCUGUGGCAGCGCUCAGCUCUUGCCAAUGCUCUUCUCUGCUUUGCUCACUUUAAGCCUCCCUUAAUUUUUUUGAAGCCCAGUUUCCACAUUGCUGAUUCACAGAUAUGCAAGACUCAGGCAGGAAAAAAAAAAGUGUCUCCUUUUCCAGACUUCUUAGAGGACUUGGAAAGAAAAUGAAAUGACGUUGAACGAAAUCAAAGUAAAUUGAGUGAUCUGAAACGAUUUGAUGUCAGCAAGAAUUCCCCAUACAGCUCACAGCCCUACCCCGAGCACGCCUCCCUCUUGGGUAUGGUGAGUUCAGCUCCAAAUUUAUUCUGACAAGAAAGCACAGGCAAUGGCUUC